CCUUCCACCUUCCAUCGUGGAUACAAUACGGUAGCGCGACCUAUGAGAAAGGCCUUUCAGCCAUCUUGGAUUUUGAAUGUAAACAUUCUGCAAUAUUUUGCAAUAUCUUUUUUUUUGCUCUUUGUGUGUGGAAUUGUUUUGUGGGAAUAAGAACAUUGAAACGUUGAAAGCUUAAGAGAAUAAAUCGACUUUCGGUGUCGGUCGGUGAUGAAGCUCAAGCACUGAAACAAGCGGCGGAUUCAAAGAUUACAUUCCAGCGAUUGCACGCUCUCACUAUUGUUAGCUACGAUGCGAAGCACGCAAAGAAAGGUAUUGCAAAGGCUCAUUCCGCUGUAGGUUCGGAGCCAGCCAAUGAGGCGAAAACUGAGCAGCCACGGGGGAGCAGUGCCGAUAAGGAGAAUUAGCAUGAAUGUGGGAAAAGUAAAAAGCCUUCGAAGGAACAGGAAUCUGCUUCAAAUAAAAUGGAUCUGGACAAGAAACACAAGCGCAAUGGGUUGUCGGAAAAUGACCCUGUUGCAUCGUAUCAUGUAUAUAAAAAAGAAUAGGAACAAAAAUCGUCUACCAGGAGAAAACAACCAUUCGGAGCUUAGAUGGAGAGUGCGAAACAAACUGUUUGGUGAAAAGUAAUCAUCUCUUACAACAUUCCGCCAUUGACUGCCAAAUUCCAUCCAAAAUGAGCGAUUUGUGAUUUGGCGUUUCUAGCAUAAGUAGAACGACUGA